GACAGAGGCCUCGAGCGUUAGGCGGAAUCACUGGGCUUAAAGCGCGUGUAGGCGGAUCGUUAAGUGCCUUGUGAAAUCCCGCGGCUCAACCGCGGAACCGCUGGGCAUACUGGCGGUCUUGGGCCACUCAGGGGUCACUGGAACAAGCGGUGGAGCGGUGAAAUGCGUAGAUAUCGGAAGGAACACCAGUGGCGAAAGCGGCUUCCUGGUCCAGCACCGACGUCAGGCACGAAAGCGUGGGGAGCAAACAGGG
rnacentral:rRNA from 1 species